AGGGUCCGUAGGCGGGUCGAUAAGUCAGUGGUGAAAGCCUGCAGCUUAACUGUAGAACUGCCGUUGAUACUGUCGGUCUUGAGUGUAUUUGAGGUAGCUGGAAUGAGUAGUGUAGCGGUGAAAUGCAUAGAUAUUACUCAGAACACCAAUUGCGAAGGCAGGUUACCAAGUUACAACUGACGCUGAUGGACGAAAGCGUGGGGAGCGAACAGGAUUAGAUACCCUGGUAGUCCACGCUGUAAACGAUGCUAACUCGUUUUUGGGGUAUUAUACUUCAGAGACCAAGCGAAAGUGAUAAGUUAGCCACCUGGGGAGUACGAACGCAAGUUUGAAACUCAAAGGAAUUGACGGGGGCCCGCACAAGCGGUGGAUUAUGUGGUUUAAUUCGAUGAUACGCGAGGAACCUUACCAAGACUUAAAUGGGAAUUGACAGCUGUAGAAAUACGGUUUUCUUCGGACAAUUUUCAAGGUGCUGCAUGGUUGUCGUCAGCUCGUGCCGUGAGGUGUUAGGUUAAGUCCUGCAACGAGCGCAACCCCUGUCACUAGUUGCCAUCAUUAAGUUGGGGACUCUAGUGAGACUGCCUACGCAAGUAGAGAGGAAGGUGGGGAUGACGUCAAAUCAUCACGGCCCUUACGUCUUGGGCCACACACGUAAUACAAUGGCCGGUACAGAGGGCAGCUACACUGCGAAGUGAUGCGAAUCUCGAAAGCCGGCCUCAGUUCGGAUUGGAGUCUGCAACUCGACUCUAUGAAGCUGGAAUCGC
rnacentral:rRNA from 1 species